rnacentral:rRNA from 1 species
GAUCCUGCCGGACCCGACUGCUAUUGGGGUGAGGCUAAGCCAUGCGAGUUAGCUCUCCUAGCCAUGAUGGAGGGCGGCAUACGGCUCAGUAACAUGUGGUCAAUCUACCCUCAGGACGGAGAUAACCUCGGGAAACUGAGGCUAAUAUCCGAUAGAUAAUGGAUCCUGGAAUGGUUCAUUAUUCAAACGGCACAUUGCUCAUGCGCAGUGUGUCGCCUGAGGAUGAGACUGCACCCUAUCAGGUAGUUGGUGGGGUAACGGCCCACCAAGCCUAUAACGGGUACGGGCCCUGAGAGGGGGAGCCCGGAGAUGGGCACUGAGACAAGGGCCCAGGCCCUACGGGGCGCAGCAGGCGCGAAACCUCUGCAAUGCGCGAAAGCGCGACAGGGCCACCCUGAGUGCUAGCCGCUGAGGUUAGCUUUUCCUUAGUGUAGUAAGCUAAGGGAAUAAGCGGGGGGCAAGCCUGGUGUCAGCCGCCGCGGUAAYACCAGCANNA